GCCUCGGUAGCUCAGUCAGCAGAGCGUGGGACUUGUAAGAUCCCAAGGUCGAGGGUGCAAAUCCCUCCCGAGGCU
rnacentral:tRNA from 1 species